GCAUGUCACCACCGGGUUUCCCCAGAGAGUUGUUUAUUCAUUGAUGCAACUUAAUUUUCUGAAAUAACAAAGUGAAGAAAGCUUGAAAAGCAUAUUCAGAAUUUCACCUGUGGCAUCAGAGUUGUUCAGUUUGCGGUGGCUCCAGCAGUGACUUUGGUUUCCGUCACAACGUCAGUAAUUUGUCUGAAGACAGAGUAACAAGGAGAUCCUGACAGACAAGGAUUUGUGCUUUAAACUCUUAAAGGCACCGUGCAAUGAAGAGCGGUGAACUACUGUGAGAAGAUUGCUGCUAGAUGUAUCAGUAUGGCUAUGUGCAUCUUUAACUUAGAUGAUGGUUAGGAUAGCUGUCAGUCAAAAGAAAAACACAAAUGGUGUUUACAGAAAACACAGUGCAAGGUAUGAAGGUGCCAGAACAAUUCUGACAAUAAACAAAUAUACUAAACAUA